rnacentral:rRNA from 1 species
GGCAGUGCGGCAGCUAUAAUGCAAGUCGAGCGGACAGAAGGGAGCUUGCUCCCGGAUGUUAGCGGCGGACGGGUGAGUAACACGUGGGUAACCUGCCUGUAAGACUGGGAUAACUCCGGGAAACCGGAGCUAAUACCGGAUAGUUCCUUGAACCGCAUGGUUCAAGGAUGAAAGACGGUUUCGGCUGUCACUUACAGAUGGACCCGCGGCGCAUUAGCUAGUUGGUGAGGUAACGGCUCACCAAGGCGACGAUGCGUAGCCGACCUGAGAGGGUGAUCGGCCACACUGGGACUGAGACACGGCCCAGACUCCUACGGGAGGCAGCAGUAGGGAAUCUUCCGCAAUGGACGAAAGUCUGACGGAGCAACGCCGCGUGAGUGAUGAAGGUUUUCGGAUCGUAAAGCUCUGUUGUUAGGGAAGAACAAGUGCAAGAGUAACUGCUUGCACCUUGACGGUACCUAACCAGAAAGCCACGGCUAACUACGUGCCAGCAGCCGCGGUAAUACGUAGGUGGCAAGCGUUGUCCGGAAUUAUUGGGCGUAAAGGGCUCGCAGGCGGUUUCUUAAGUCUGAUGUGAAAGCCCCCGGCUCAACCGGGGAGGGUCAUUGGAAACUGGGAAACUUGAGUGCAGAAGAGGAGAGUGGAAUUCCACGUGUAGCGGUGAAAUGCGUAG